UGUUUCUAAUAUACGCCAUGAUCUUUUCUGAUUACAAUACUUUACUGAUUCAAUUGAAAAUUUUUUACAUUAAUAUUUUAUCAUUAAGGAAAUAUUUAAAAUAAAAAUUUUUAUUUCAGGAUGUUCAUGGAAGGUGUAGUUUCUCCUUAGGACUUGCAAAAUUUCAUUUUAAGAUGGAAACUAGGGUUGUUCAACUUCAUUAUUUUGGCUGAUGAAAUUGUGGUUUUUCCUCUAAUUUCAAUGGGGGACAGUGGGAUUUUGUUGAGGUAUGGCCCAAUGUGGUUAACCAAGAAAUUCCUGUGUAGAUGGUGUCAAUGUAACAGUACUUGUUCGAACUUGUUUC